rnacentral:tRNA from 8 species
GGGUGAUUAGCUCAGUUGGUAGAGCAGCUGACUCUUAAUCAGCGGGUCACAGGUUCGAAUCCUGUAUCACCCACCA